rnacentral:rRNA from 1 species
GACGAACGCUGGCGGCGUGCCUAAUACAUGCAAGUCGAACGCACUGACAGAGAAACUUGUCUCUCUUGACGUGAGUGGCGCACGGAUGAGUAACACGUGGGAAACCUACCCUUCAGCGGGGGAUAACCGUCGGAAACGAUGGCUAAUACCGCAUAGGUCUUUUAACCGCCUGGUUGAAAGAGGAAAGACGGCUUCGGCUGUCACUGAAGGAUGGUCCCGCGGUGCAUUAGCUAGUUGGUAAGGUAACGGCUUACCAAGGCGAUGAUGCAUAGCCGACCUGAGAGGGUGAUCGGCCACAUUGGGACUGAGACACGGCCCAAACUCCUACGGGAGGCAGCAGUAGGGAAUCUUCCGCAAUGGACGAAAGUCUGACGGAGCAACGCCGCGUGUGUGAAGAAGGUCUUCGGAUCGUAAAGCACUGUUAUUAGAGAAGAACAACCGGUAGAGUAACUGUUACCGGCUUGACGGUAUCUAACCAGAAAGCCACGGCUAACUACGUGCCAGCAGCCGCGGUAAUACGUAGGUGGCAAGCGUUGUCCGGAUUUAUUGGGCGUAAAGGGAGCGCAGGCGGUGACUUAAGUCUGAUGUGAAAGCCCACGGCUCAACCGUGGAAGGUCAUUGGAAACUGGGUCACUUGAGUGCAGAAGAGGAAAGUGGAAUUCCAUGUGUAGCGGUGAAAUGCGUAGAUAUAUGGAGGAACACCAGUGGCGAAGGCGACUUUCUGGUCUGUAACUGACGCUGAGGCUCGAAAGCGUGGGGAGCAAACAGGAUUAGAUACCCUGGUAGUCCACGCCGUAAACGAUGAGUGCUAAGUGUUGGAGGGUUUCCACUCUUUCAGUGCUGGAGUUAACGCAAUAAGCACUCCGCCUGGG